UUCAUUUCUUUGCUUCCUUGUAGAGUUGUGCUGCGUCGCGUAAAAUCCAUUUUACAGCUGUAUAUUGUUUUUGUGAAUGAAAGUGCAUAAUUCAUGAAAAUUUUCAGUUGCGAAACUUUUGAGUAGGGCAGGACAGACAAAGAGUUGGUGAUUUUCGGUGUUUGGAGUGUUGCAAGUGUCGCAUAAGUUGGAGGUUUCAGCGUUUAUGAGAAAUAGGGGGCAUGUUGGAACCUGCAUACAAGUGACGAGACGGCGGUUCUGGGAAAAAUUGAGAGAAAUGCUGAUAGAUCUGGGAGUGAGCAUCUUUUACUGAGAGGUCUGAUUGAAUUAUAGAGCCGACUUGAGCCGCAUGUUUGGCGAAGAAAUCUGCACGCUCAUUUGCAGGGAUGCCAAUAUGUGAGGGAGUCCAGAUAUUGGAUUUGAAUUAUUAUUUGGCACUUUGUUAUUUGGUUCCUCAAAUGGGUUAUCUAUUUCCGAUGAAAGGAGUGAUUGCUGGAAUUUUUUUAAAAUGUUUAAACCUUCGGCACUAUUAAGUGAGAUACUUUUGAAAAGGUAGUAUGGUUGAAGACGGAUUGAGAUGGUGUGAUUUGAAUCGGACUGGCAAUGGCGUGAUGGAUUGGAUUUCGUGGAGACGCAACUUUGCUAUAUUUUAAUUUUGUUACUCUUUUGUUUAUUUCUUUAUAAACGCUUAUUUUUGGUGGUUUGUUUUUAUUAAGAGGGGGAAAGGCAUUGUUAAAUUCAUCAUCAGAAAGGACUUGGAAACGGUUUUGGGAUUCUGGAUAUUUUUGAACAACUUCUUUUCGUGAAAGUUUGGAAAGGGCCAUUAUGCUUCUUAUAUUUCUUUCAGAUUUCCGUCUUGGGCACUGCUUUGAGUCGGUUGCAAAAUGAUCAAUACUAUUACAGAGAAUGCAUCGAGGCGAGUUGCAUAUAUCCUUGCACGUAGUUGUUGAUAAACAUUCUUUACAUUUCUGCUCUUUGGGACAUUGAUUGGGGCAUAUAAUAAAUUUACCACAAUUUAAACAUUUUUUCGUCGACCUGCAACGAAUGGCUAUGUGUCCUAACCGUCCGCAGUUUAAACAUAAACGUACAGGGGGGAUAUAUAACUCCGGUGUUAUUUUUGUUCCGCACAUAAGUAUCUCCGUGGGUACACCAUCAUAUAUAAUACCGAUUUUUAUGGUUUCGGAGUAUUCCAUUUUAUUGUUUUUGGAUUUUCUAGUGAAGCGGUAUAUUGAAACAACGUCCAUAUCAUUAUUAGCUUCAAUUUGUUGUUUAAUUGUAAUAGCAGAAAUACUUAUUGGUACAUUCUUGAUUAUAUAGAACCGUUGUACAAAACGUUCUGGGAUAAAGGCUUUGAGAUCGAUUUGGUUUAACUUUGGGUUCGUAGCAAAGGAGUUGGCUGAGGUAGCAUUGUUAAAUGUUAUUCUGUUAUUGUAUCCAAUGUUCUUGCAAGCAUAGUCUGUAAUAUUAAUCUUUUGAAAUCUUGCAUACAGGUGAAGUUCACAAUUCUUUCUUCUUGUGCUAAUUGGCGUUUCUGAGGAAACUAACACAUGAAAAGGACCGGGAUGGUAUUGAGGAUACAAAAUGGUUUCUUUAUUUAGAGAGUUGUAGUUGUGUUGUUCUGCCAUUUCAUUAUUUGAAGUAGGUUCUGUGUUUGUGUUUAUUGGUUUAACAGGUGUUCCAUUUUGGUUUUUGAAAGUUUUAGUUUCUUUGGAAAUGCUGGGAGCUCUUCUUUUAUUUUGUUCCCCCGGAGGAGGAGGUGGAAUAGGCGGAGGAGGAGGUUCCCCUACUCCCCCCAUUUUUCAGUUAAUGAAGGAUUAUUUUAACUUUUGUAAUAAAAAAAAUUGCAAAAGCAGGGAAAAGAAAAAAACUCAAAUUGUUUAUGUUUGUGUGUGUGAAUGCGUUGUUUGUAUAUUUGUUGUUGUUUAGAAAUAAAAGCACAGCGACCAGCGCGAAAAACAGUCUAAUGUCAACAGAUGUUGAUGAGCGACUGUAAGUUCUA